rnacentral:rRNA from 1 species
CCUACGGGUGGCAGCAGUGGGGAAUAUUGGACAAUGGGCGAAAGCCUGAUCCAGCCAUGCCGCGUGUGUGAAGAAGGCCUUCGGGUUGUAAAGCACUUUCAGUGGGGAAGAAAGCCUUGGGGCUAAUACCCUCGAGGAAGGACAUCACCCACAGAAGAAGCACCGGCUAACUCCGUGCCAGCAGCCGCGGUAAUACGGAGGGUGCGAGCGUUAAUCGGAAUUACUGGGCGUAAAGCGCGCGUAGGCGGUCUGAUAAGCCGGUUGUGAAAGCCCCGGGCUCAACCUGGGAACGGCAUCCGGAACUGUCAGGCUAGAGUGCAGGAGAGGAAGGUAGAAUUCCCGGUGUAGCGGUGAAAUGCGUAGAGAUCGGGAGGAAUACCAGUGGCGAAGGCGGCCUUCUGGACUGACACUGACGCUGAGGUGCGAAAGCGUGGGUAGCAAACAGGAUUAGAUACCCGAGUAGCC